UGAAACAGCAUGUUCAAGGCUCCUCUAAUAUGGGCUGGUGCCAUCUCUGACAAAUAUAAUGGGACCGCCUUCAAGAAAACCAACAGAGAGUUCCUAUCUCUGAUAAAAUAAAGUUGUAUUCUGGGACAACACAUGAAAUUGCUAACCUGGUUACCAAAGCCAAUGCCUAUACCAAGCAUAAUUCUGCCUAAAAGAAGCAUGACCAGGUUGACAGCUGAGGCGUUGAGAGCAGCUCCAACAAGAAAACUGAUACCACCACAUAUUAUACUCAUGCGACGUCCACGGCUCCUAGUGAUGCGCGAUGCAGCCAGAGACGUGACUAAACCAGCUAAAUAUAAAGAUGAGGUUUCCAGCUUAGGCCAAACUAAUCCUAAAUCCUAAGAACUCCUGCCCAAGUGUUGUUGGAGAGAUAAAUUGCAGGUCGCCUAAGCAGCCUUCCAGUCAGUCUUUGUCGUUGACUCUGGAAUUGAUGC